UGGGGAAUAUUGGACAAUGGGGGGAACCCUGAUCCAGCCAUGCCGCGUGUGUGAAGAAGGCCUUAUGGUUGUAAAGCACUUUAAGCGAGGAGGAGGGUACUGGUAUUAAUACUACCAGGUACUGGACGUUACUCGCAGAAUAAGCACCGGCUAACUCUGUGCCAGCAGCCGCGGUAAUACAGAGGGUGCGAGCGUUAAUCGGAUUUACUGGGCGUAAAGCGUGCGUAGGCGGCUAAUUGAGUCGGAUGUGAAAUCCCCGAGCUUAACUUGGGAAUUGCAUUCGAUACUGGUUAGCUAGAGUGUGGGAGAGGAUGGUAGAAUUCCAGGUGUAGCGGUGAAAUGCGUAGAGAUCUGGAGGAAUACCGAUAGCGAAGGCAGCCAUCUGGCCUAACACUGACGCUGAGAUACGAAAGCAUGGGGAGCAAACAGG
rnacentral:rRNA from 1 species